rnacentral:rRNA from 1 species
AACGAACGCUGGCGGCAUGCCUAACACAUGCAAGUCGAACGAGACCUUCGGGUCUAGUGGCGCACGGGUGCGUAACGCGUGGGAAUCUGCCCUUGGGUUCGGAAUAACAGUUAGAAAUGACUGCUAAUACCGGAUGAUGUCUUCGGACCAAAGAUUUAUCGCCCAGGGAUGAGCCCGCGUAGGAUUAGCUUGUUGGUGGGGUAAAGGCCUACCAAGGCGACGAUCCUUAGCUGGUCUGAGAGGAUGAUCAGCCACACUGGGACUGAGACACGGCCCAGACUCCUACGGGAGGCAGCAGUGGGGAAUAUUGGACAAUGGGCGAAAGCCUGAUCCAGCAAUGCCGCGUGAGUGAUGAAGGCCUUAGGGUUGUAAAGCUCUUUUACCCGGGAUGAUAAUGACAGUACCGGGAGAAUAAGCCCCGGCUAACUCCGUA